rnacentral:lncRNA from 1 species
UUCCCAUAUUAACAUUCAUUUUUCUCUACUUUAUUCUUUGCCUGCGGAGCUCGCUCUCUUUUCUCCAUUUUUGCUACCAUCAUGGAGUUCAAUAGGCUCUCAAAAAGCUAGAACCUCAUCGGGAUUGAGCAUAUCAGUGUCCACUCACAUAUCCAUGAUUUGGACCUCGACUCCGCUCUGGAGGCUUGCAUCAUCUCAAUAUAUCAACGCCCACUUAUAUAU